rnacentral:misc_RNA from 1 species
CCGAGUUUACAACUCCCAAACCCCUGUGAACAUACCACUUGUUGCCUCGGCGGAUCAGCCCGCUCCCGGUAAAACGGGUCGGCCCGCCAGAGGACCCCUAAACUCUGUUUCUAUAUGUAACUUCUGAGUAAAACCAUAAAUAAAUCA